GACGAACGCUGGCGGCGUGCUUAACACAUGCAAGUCGAACGAUGAAGCAAAGAAUCGAAGCUUCGGCAGAAAUUCAUUUCGGAUUAGUGGCAGACGGGUGAGUAACGCGUGAGCAACCUACCUCUUACAAAGGGAUAGCCUCGGGAAACCGGGAUUAAUACCAUAUAACAUUGCGCCGAAGCAUUUCGAUGCAAUCAAAGCUACGGCGGUAAGAGAUGGGCUCGCGUCCCAUUAACCGGAUGGUGAGGUAACGGCUCACCAUAGUGACGAUGGGUAACCGGCCUGAGAGGGUGAACGGUCACACUGGAACUGAGACACGGUCCAGACUCCUACGGGAAGCAGCAGUGGGGAAUAUUGCACAAUGGAGGGAACUCUGAUGCAGCGACGCCGCGUGAGUGAUGAAGGAAUUCGUUUCGUAAAACUCUGUUCUAUGGGAAGAAAAGGACUGUACCAUAGGAGAAAGCUCCGGCUAAAUACGUG
rnacentral:rRNA from 1 species